rnacentral:rRNA from 1 species
AGCGAACGCUGGCGGCAGGCUUAACACAUGCAAGUCGAGCGGGCAUCCUUGUGGUGUCAGCGGCAGACGGGUGAGUAACGCGUGGGAACGUGCCCUUCGGUUCGGAAUAACUCAGGGAAACUUGAGCUAAUACCGGAUACGUGCGAGAGCAGAAAGGUUUAUCUGCCGAAGGAUCGGCCCGCGUCUGAUUAGCUAGUUGGUGAGGUUAUGGCUCACCAAGGCGACGAUCAGUAGCUGGUCUGAGAGGAUGAUCAGCCACACUGGGGCUGAGACACGGCCCAGACUCCUACGGGAGGCAGCAGUGGGGAAUAUUGGACAAUGGGGGCAACCCUGAUCCAGCCAUGCCGCGUGAGUGAUGACGGCCUUAGGGGUGUAAAGCUCUUUUCUGCGGGACGAUAAUGACGGUACCGGAGGAAUAAGCCCCGGCUAACUUCGUG